UCCAGACUCCUACGGGAGGCAGCAGUGGGGAAUAUUGCACAAUGGGGGAAACCCUGAUGCAGCGACGCCGCGUGAGUGAAGAAGUAUUUCGGUAUGUAAAGCUCUAUCAGCAGGAACGAGACAAGACGGUACCUGACUAAGAAGCCCCGGCUAACUACGUGCCAGCAGCCGCGGUAAUACGUAGGGGGCAAGCGUUAUCCGGAUUUACUGGGUGUAAAGGGAGCGUAGGUGGCAGGGCAAGUCAGAUGUGAAAACCCGGGGCUCAACCCCGGGAGUGCAUUUGAAACUGUCCAGCUGGAGUGCAGGAGAGGUAAGCGGAAUUCCUAGUGUAGCGGUGAAAUGCGUAGAUAUUAGGAGGAACACCAGUGGCGAAGGCGGCUUACUGGACUGUAACUGACGUUGAGGCUCGAAAGCGUGGGGAGCAAACAGGAUUAGAUACCCCAGUAAUC
rnacentral:rRNA from 1 species